rnacentral:rRNA from 1 species
CUCGUAGGUGGCCAACUAAGUCAGACGUGAAAUCCCUCGGCUUAACCGGGGAACUGCGUCUGAUACUGGAUGGCUUGAGUUCGGGAGAGGGAUGCGGAAUUCCAGGUGUAGCGGUGAAAUGCGUAGAUAUCUGGAGGAACACCGGUGGCGAAGGCGGCAUCCUGGACCGACACUGACACUGAGGAGCGAAAGCCAGGGAGCAAACG